GAUUAAGCCAUGCAUGUGUAAGUGUAAAUGUAGAACUUUGGAACUGCGAAUGGCUCAUUAUAUCAGUUAUAGUUUAUUUGGUGAAUUAUACUACUUGGAUAACCGUAGUAAUUCUAGGGCUAAUACAUGAGAAAGUCCUCUUUGGAGGUGUGUUUAUUAGAAUGAAAACCAUAUGCUUCGGCAUGAUAGUGAGUAAUAGUAACCUAUCGUAUCGCAUGCUUAAUGUAGCGAUGAUUCUUUCAAGUUUCUGCCCUAUCAGCUUUCGAUGGUAGUAUAUGGGCCUACCAUG
rnacentral:rRNA from 1 species